rnacentral:rRNA from 1 species
GGGCGCAAGCCUGAUCCAGCCAUACCGCGUGGGUGAAGAAGGCCUUCGGGUUGUAAAGCCCUUUUGUUGGGAAAGAAAAGCAGCCGGUUAAUACCCGGUUGUUCUGACGGUACCCAAAGAAUAAGCACCGGCUAACUUCGUGCCAGCAGCCGCGGUAAUACGAAGGGUGCAAGCGUUACUCGGAAUUACUGGGCGUAAAGCGUGCGUAGGUGGUUGUUUAAGUCUGUCGUGAAAGCCCUGGGCUCAACCUGGGAAUGGCGAUGGAAACUGGGCGACUAGAGUGUGGCAGAGGGUAGUGGAAUUCCUGGUGUAGCAGUGAAAUGCGUAGAGAUCAGGAGGAACAUCCGUGGCGAAGGCGACUGCCUGGGCCAACACUGACACUGAGGCACGAAAGCGUGGGGAGCAAACAGGAUUAGAUACCCUGGUAGUCCACGCCCUAAACGAUGCGAACUGGAUGUUGGGUGCAAUUUGGCACGCAGUAUCGAAGCUAACGCGUUAAGUUCGCCGCCUGG